ensembl:lncRNA
CACACACACACACACCACAUAUUGCCCAAAGCAAACACACACACGCACACACAUCCUGUUUUUGCAUCCUAAAUCCAAUGGCGAUUGUUGAUUUACUAGGUAACCUCCUUAGGAAAUGUAGUGCGUUCAAUUUACCACGUGGGGGCAGCAGGGCACAUGUAACGGUGGAGCUAUGGCAAUUAUCCCGAAAGGCAGUUAAGACAUGCAAUUAAUAUUUCCCUGCAGCGUUUAAAAAUCGAUGCUUUGUUGUCUCGGGUCAGUUUCCGUAAGGUAGAAGCUGGGAAAGCAAUUAUGCAAUUGCAUCAAAUGUUGAAAUACAUUUUUUAAUGUUCUGCAAUUGUUAAAAAUCCUGCUGGCCGACCGGUCAUGUUUAAUUGCUCCGCCCACCUGCUGUUCAGACAGACCUCCAGCAGAACUGGACCGAGUCGGGCCAAUCAGAACCCUUUAUCUGGCAGGGGGUGGUUUUGAGAAGAUGACGGUAGUCUGUGCUCGUGAUGACUCGCAUUAGAAAUCAAAUAUGAAAUAUGAGGUUCCGGUGUGAGUACCAGAUGUGUUCGGCUGCCAGAUCGGCUCGGGGUCCUGCGCUUACUGAUGACGUAUCGACACUUGACGUAUCGACACAAGCCAACGGACAAUACCCGGUUGUUUAUAAACGGUGCUUAAUCAGUUUUGGUUUUGAUUUCAUUGAACGGAGCUUCUUUCGCAAAUGUUAAAGUAAGGAUUGGCGUUGUUAAAGUUAGAUUAAGACAGUAUUUUAUAGUUUCUAUUGACUGAAAAUGAAGAACUUGGACAGUCAUAUUAUUGUUGAGAUUUUAUUUGCUCAUACAAAACAGAAUAAAUACGACAAUACAUUGAUACAACUGAGGAACAGCUAAAUGUAAAUCCAUAAAAAACGGCAUGUUUAGAUCCCAUGUUGAAUUGAGGAUAAAUUCAUGAAUGUGUUCAUAUUAGAUAUUCAUCCUAUUCCUUGAAAACUGUUUUUUUUUAUGAUUUUCCAGAUGUUCAAUGAAUUGUAUCCUUGCCUAUACAACUAAUAACAAUAAAAAAUGUAACAUUUUCCUCGUUUCCACAGGGGUAUCUUUGCUCUAUAAUUUAACAAACAUAGUAAAAUAGUAAAAAUUUCAAGGUAAGCCUAUAAGAAUGUGUAUAAUGUGUUAGCACAUUCAUGAAUAUAUCCUCAAUUUGCCGUGGGAUCAAAACAUGAUGUUUUCAUGGAUUUACAUUGAGCUGUAUGUGUGUAUGUGAAUUGCAGUGUAUGUGUUUGGAUACACACACACGGGCACACACACUGACAUAUUUGUAUAUUAUUAUAUAUUUUUUUAUUCAUGUGGCCUGCAG